rnacentral:rRNA from 1 species
AGUGAACGCUGGCGGCGUGCUUAACACAUGCAAGUCGAACGAGAACGGAUUAUAGCUUGCUAUAAUUGUCAGCUAAGUGGCGCACGGGUGAGUAAUGUAUAAGUAAUAUGCCUCUUACUAAGGGAUAACAAUUGGAAACGAUUGCUAAUACCUUAUAUUCCUUUUUAUCAAAAGAUAAAAAGGGAAAGAUUUAUUGGUAAGAGAUUAGCCUGUAUUGUAUCAGUUAGUUGGUGGGGUAAUGGCCUACCAAGACGAUGACGCAUAACUGGUUUGAGAGGAUGAUCAGUCACACUGGAACUGAGACACGGUCCAGACUCCUACGGGAGGCAGCAGUGGGGAAUAUUGCACAAUGGACGAAAGUCUGAUGCAGCAACGCCGCGUGGAGGAUGACACAUUUCGGUGCGUAAACUCCUUUUAUAUAAGAAGAUAAUGACGGUAUUAUAUGAAUAAGGGUCGGCUAACUACGUGCCAGCAGCCGCCGUAA